GCUUUAUUAUUGGAUGUAAAAAUAUGCAUAUACAAACUUAGAAAACAUUGUUAUAUGUUACUAGAUGUGUUAACAUGCUAAAAAUAUCACAAAACAGGAAAAUAGAGCGACAAUAUUAUUCAAAGAUACAUAAACAGAUAAAUGAUUAUAUGCUAUUAAAAUUGUUAGCAAUCUAACAUUGGAUUUUUAGGCUAUUAAAUAUGUUAACAGUCUAACAGUAAAUCAUAGCUAUGUUAAUAGCAUUUGCUCGUAAAGAAUCACCAAGACUAAGCACUACUUUCGCGUCCUGCCACAGCUCCUAUCUACUGUCCGAAGAAGCUCACAUACACUGCUCCUCUGAUUCCCGUAUACAUAUAAUUUGUGGUGGUGCUUUUGUGGAGGUUUGCGACUGUUCAGUUCAUUUGUGGUUCCAAAAAAUGAUAUCCAGCAGCCAUCAUCAUCACGUACUCAUCAAACAAAAUCAAUAGCAUCAAUUAGUGACAUGAUCUACUCAUCAAACACAACAAUAGCAUCAAUUAAAGCUUAGCUUGUUGCUCAAAGAUCAUGACGAAUCUUACUAAAUAAUAAAUAUGCACAAAUAAACUCAAAGACUGCAUUUUCCAUAAAAAAGUCAUAAGAAUAUAUAGAGGAAAAAUAUGAGCUGGUAUGGAUAUUGAACUCACAAUCAAUUGAAUCAUAAUGAGCAUAAAUACAAAACUUUUUUAAUGUACAUAUGAAAUUUUAACUCUCUAAAGUAAGCCUUUUGAAUCUAACAAGAAUCAGAGAAUAAAACCCAGAAAAAAUAAAAUCUUUACAAAUACUUACAAUCGUGUAGGAGACAAUCGAAUACGGUGAGAGUCCGGCGAGUAUGAGAUUGUUUUGGAGCAAUGAUUCCGAUCGAUUUUAAUAGAUGAUUGCGAUUGAUGGAAGCUGGUAUCAUCGCUAAGGUAUCGUGGGAGAACUCAGAAAGAGUGAGAGAGAUGUAAGUUCUAUGUGGACAUUGGUUCUAACGGAUAAAUCAAAGAGAUUGAGAGAGAGGAUAAUCGAAACUGUGGAGAAAACAAAGACUCUGGGAGAGAUGAGAAAGAUAAUUCUGAAACCCCAUGUUAUAGAUUGUAAUGA
rnacentral:lncRNA from 1 species